GACGAACGCUGGCGGCGUGCUUAACACAUGCAAGUCGAACGGAAAGGCCCUGCUUUUGUGGGGUGCUCGAGUGGCGAACGGGUGAGUAACACGUGAGUAACCUGCCCUUGACUUUGGGAUAACUUCAGGAAACUGGGGCUAAUACCGGAUAGGAGCUCCUGCUGCAUGGUGGGGGUUGGAAAGUUUCGGCGGUUGGGGAUGGACUCGCAGCUUAUCAGCUUGUUGGUGGGGUAGUGGCUUACCAAGGCUUUGACGGGUAGCCGGCCUGAGAGGGUGACCGGCCACAUUGGGACUGAGAUACGGCCCAGACUCCUACGGGAGGCAGCAGUGGGGAAUAUUGCACAAUGGGCGGAAGCCUGAUGCAGCAACGCCGCGUGCGGGAUGACGGCCUUCGGGUUGUAAACCGCUUUCGCCUGUGACGAAGCGUGAGUGACGGUAAUGGGCAAAGAAGCACCGGCUAACUACGUG
rnacentral:rRNA from 1 species